rnacentral:rRNA from 1 species
CAGUAGCCGCGGUAAUACAGAGGGUGCAAGCGUUAAUCGGAAUUACUGGGCGUAAAGCGCGCGUAGGUGGUUUGUUAAGUUGGAUGUGAAAUCCACGGGCUCAACCUGGGAACUGCAUCCAAAACUGGCAAGCUAGAGUAUGGUAGAGGGUGGUGGAAUUUCCUGUGUAGCGGUGAAAUGCGUAGAUAUAGGAAGGAACACCAGUGGCGAAGGCGACCACCUGGACUGAUACUGACACUGAGGUGCGAAAGCGUGGGGAGCAAACAGGAUUAGAUACCCCUGUAGUCCCUGUCUCUUAUAC